rnacentral:tRNA from 1 species
UACCCCCAGGGGAAGUCGAAUCCCCGCUGCCUCCUUGAAAGAGAGAUGUCCUGAACCACUAGCACGAUAGGGGC